UACGGGGGGGGCAAGCGUUGUUCGGAAUUACUGGGCGUAAAGGGCUCGUAGGCGGCCAACUAAGUCAGACGUGAAAUCCCUCAGCUUAACUGGGGAACUGCGUCUGAUACUGGAUGGCUUGGAUUCGGGAGAGGAAUGCGGAAUUCCAGGUGUAGCGGUGAAAUGCGUAGAUAUCGGGAGGAACACCAGUGGCGAAGGCGACUACCUGGCCUGUUCUUGACGCUGAGGCGCGAAAGCUAGGGGAGCAAACGGG
rnacentral:rRNA from 1 species